UACAGAGGGGGCUAGCGUUGUUCGGAAUUACUGGGCGUAAAGGGCGCGUAGGCGGCCCUCUAAGUCGAACGUGAAAUCCCCGGGCUCAACCCGGGAACUGCGUCCGAUACUGGAGGGCUCGAAUCCGGGAGAGGGAUGUGGAAUUCCAGGUGUAGCGGUGAAAUGCGUAGAUAUCUGGAGGAACACCGGUGGCGAAGGCGGCAUCCUGGACCGGUAUUGACGCUGAGGCGCGAAAGCCAGGGGAGCAAACUGG
rnacentral:rRNA from 1 species